CUUUCUUUUCUUUAACCCUGCAACCCCCUGUGUCUUCCUGUGAAGAUCUGAGUGUCCUCACUUCUGGUCUUUUGUGUUUUUUGUUUUGUUUUUCCAGACCUCCCAGAUUCUCCCCCAGCUUUGGUUCCUGCUCCUCCUAAGAGAGCCAGGCCCAGCCCUGGCCGCCCCCUGCCUCAGGAUGAAGACCCUGAAGAGAGGCUGAACAGGCAUGACCAGCACGUCACGGCUGUCUUGACUAAAAUUAUUGAACGAGAUACAAGUGCAGUGGCUGUGAAUCUGCCUGUGCCCAGCAGUGUUGCUUUCCCUCCUGUAUUCCAUCGCUCACAAGACAGACAGGGAAAGCCAGCAUCUGGUAAGGGAAGCAUCUUUGCCCGGGAGAUCGCGGCAAGGCGGGCUUCUGAAGGCAGGCCUCCAUCCGCCAGAGAAGUUGUGCCCAACCCAGACCCAGCACAGGGU